rnacentral:piRNA from 1 species
GUCCAAUGUGUCAAUGGUGGGUUGG